CUACGGGUUGCUGCAGUGAGGAAUAUUGGUCAAUGGGCGAAAGCCUGAACCAGCCAUGCCGCGUGAAGGAUGACGGCCCUAUGGGUUGUAAACUUCUUUUAUACGGGAAGAAACACCUCUACGUGUAGAGGUUUGACGGUACCGUACGAAUAAGCAUCGGCUAACUCCGGGCCAGCAGCCGCGGUAAUACGGAGGAUGCAAGCGUUAUCCGGAUUUAUUGGGUUUAAAGGGUACGUAGGCGGAAACUUAAGUCAGUAGUGAAAUCCCGCAGCUUAACUGUGGAACUGUUAUUGAUACUGGGUUUCUUGAAUAUUGUUGAGGUAGGCGGAAUAAGUAAUGUAGCGGUGAAAUGCUUAGAUAUUACUUAGAACACCGAUUGCGAAGGCAGCUUACUAAGCAAUUAUUGACGCUGAGGUACGAAAGCGUGGGGAGCGAACAGGAUUAGAUACCCCAGUAGUC
rnacentral:rRNA from 1 species